UGAGAACCCUUAUAGUCACAUCACAUGUGUAUUGUAGCAUCAAAGUUGUGUUCUUUGUACAUGCAUGUGGGUUGAUUUGUAACAAAUAGAAAUAUUUGUAAUUGUCCAUUUUCCAAAACUCCUAAAUUUUCAAGGAUGUUUCCAAAAUCUUCAAAAAAAACAAGUAUAUCUAUCAAAAUAUUGCAAUAUACAAGAAUAUAUAUAAGAACAUAUAUCAAAUAUGGAAAUAUAUUUCAAACUUGCUGAUUUAAAUGGCUCCUUAUGAUGAUGAAACAGAGUCUCUACAACCACUAUUUAAAGGUUUGUAGGGGGCAAUUUCACAGAUACAACGGCCAUUGUGCGUGCAAUGAAGUCGAAUCUUCAUGCCUUCUUUUCUGUGAAAACAGUAAGAAUACACUACACACCUGCUGUUUUUUCAAACAAAAAUGUAAAUUGAUUCAUGAGAUGGUUCUCUCACAUUCACAGGUAAAUCAUCAUUUUUAGUUCAUAGCUUUUCACGUUAAACAUGCAAAAAACAAUGGACAAGAUCGUCCUUUGUCCUCCACACGUAGCACAUCGACACCCUUACAGCUGACAAAUCUAGUUCAAAGUGUGCGUCUUAUACCACGUUCAUCAUGGACACUAAACCAAUGUUUUCUAUCUAAAUAAAGCGUUGCACAUACCCCCGAUUUCUUGAAUCCUUGACGAGUAGAAUUAUACCCAACAACCAACUUAUGAUGUUUCCUGUGAUCCUUCUGCAGCAAGCUGGAAAAACUCUCACCAUCACCAUGACAACAAUGAGCUCCACAGUUUCAUAGCUGGGCACAGGCUGCAACCACCUCUUCAAAGCCCACAAGUGACCUUCUAGUGUGGAAUAAUACUAAAAAAUUAAAUUAAAUUAAAAUGCGAAGAGGGUGGUGGAACUACUUCCAGCAUGUUUGAAUAAACAACAUUGAGAUCUUCAGAAUGCUUGAGAACACUGAACACUGAAGGAAGCCAUGCAGGAUGACACCGCAACUCCCUGUGUUCUAUAAAUUUAUUGUAUGACAACAAGCUUUGGAUCGAAAGUAGGGUACUAAUACGCUACAGGUUGAAUUGAAGAUCAACGCAGCAAGUGAUCAAAAAUGAAGGCGAAAGCAAUGUCCCAAACUUCACGGUGAUUGACGAAACCGUAAAUUUGCAAGGUACUGCAUUCUGUCACAAAUUGCACGUCAUUGAUAAGAAGAUAGCAAUGAUCUGAAAUGGGUUUUUUUUUUAUUUCAUUUUAUUUUAUCAUUGAGUCGAUUUCAAAUUGGUCAAAGUGACGCACAAUCAUACAAGUAGACAGCAGAAUCAAAUUCUUAAAAUUUGUGCGCACCCACAAAACCACAUUGAUUAUAUUUUACUUUUAAUGACAGCACAUCAUGUUACUAAACAUGCAAUACAUCGUGCACAACUGGAAAAUAAAUCGGUGAAGGUACUAUUACUAUGAACACUCCAGAAGCUGGCAUGACUUCCUGCAAAAUUUUACAUACUGCUAAGCUACUAAAAUCAAUCCAAACAAGGUAAUGAUGUUGUUCUUUGGUAACUUAUUUUGUGUUCUAUUUUGCUCUCAAAAAUCCUUUCUAACACAUUCAAAAAUUACUUUUCUUGGAAUCCUAAGGUAGCUUAAAAACAUAUCCAAACACACUCUUUUGACUUUCUAAAGCGGUGAUGUCACAUAUUCUUUUGGGUCGCACCGUAGCACUUUUUGAAGUGUAUAAAUGACCCCUACUGCUAAGUUUUACAACACGUCAAAAAGUUUUACAUCUCUAAUAAAAAUAAAAAUAAAAAAACACUUUAAGACAUUCUAUGUAGAUGGUUGUAACUUGACCAAAAUAACCUCCCAGAAAUCAAAACUUUUUUCAACAUACAUUGUAGACAACAAAGAGUUUUGAAACUUUUGGUAAAAUUGCACAAAAUCUUCAAAAAAAAUUCAAACUUCUCCGAGGACAUUCGAGUAGUGUCUGAAUAAUACCAAGAAUAUGGGAACUUUUAAAAACUGAUGUUUAAAAAUUAAAAAGAAUAUUGUAACAAAGGGUGGUUUUUGGUCUAUUUUUGCUAAAAUAUUGGCAACGGAUUCUAAAAUUAAACAAAUAUAAAUUUUAUGGAUAUAUCCAUUUUGUAUAAACAGAAAAUAUUUCUGUACAUAAUCUGUAGUAACAAUUAUUAAAAGAGAAACACCACUUUAAAAAAUCAAGAAACUUGGUCAUCAAAAUUUUUUGUAUUAAUUUAAAUAAAAUAAUAGCACUAAAUUUAACUUUGUAUUUGUAAAAAAAAUAAAUUCUUACACAUUACAAUUUUUAGAAUAAAAAAUAUUAUAUUACUAUUCUAUACUACAAAAUUUUCAAAAAUAAAAUUUUCACUGUUAAAAUAUAUAUUUUAUAAUUUUCAUUUUAGUACUUAUUAAAGAGACAAAAAAAUCUAAUAAAAAAUAAUGAAUUAUUUUUUUGAAUAAAAAAUUAUAUAUAAAUAUAAAUAUAUAUAUAUGUAUAUUUAUAUUUAUUUGAUCAUAAACUAAUAUUAAAGUAAUAGCUUAUUUUAGAUAUUCAAGUAAUUAUAAAUCCUAGUGUUAGAUAAGACCAUCAAUUUUAAGGGUCUAUGUGCUAUUUUGGACUUUGUUAGAUUAUAUAAUGUUUCAAAAAUAUUUUUUGGCUAAUGUACUUUUUGAAAAAAUGUAUUAGCAUAUACAUAUAUGGUUCUAUAUAGAAAUUUCUUUAAAAGUUUGGCAAAUAAUUCAACAAACAUAUCUUUAUACACAACUACUUUAAAAAUUCCUUUAAGAACAUUCUUCUCCACAACUCAAAACAAAAAGUUCAAACUCUUCAUAAACCAUUGUCCAUACUUAAAUAUUUGGUUUGGUUCCCUAUAAAAAAUAAAAAAUAGAAUCCCACAAAACAUGGUAGUGGAAGUGGUGGAGGAGAAAGAAAGAGAGCAAAGGAAGUACACACACAAUAAAGAAAGAUUGACUCCGUUGCAUCGGACGACGUUAAGCACGUUUUGGUGGAAAAACCCAAACAACAACAACACGAAGAAUCUCCAAUAACAAUAACAGCAACAACAAUUGCAACAACUCACGAACAUGUCGCGAAGGGAAACAACGGCGUCGCCACCAUCGCAACGAGCGCCAACUUCCCCCGAAGAGGAGGACGAAAAGGACAACGAGGAAGACAAGGAAACGCGAGAGUGCGACGCACCUUGGAAGCAACGCCCGAACGUGGUCACACACACACACACAGCUGCGCUUCUUUCCUGCAGGGAAAGAAGGAAAGAAAGGAAGGAAAUAAGGAAGGCCCACCCACUUGGGGACUCACUGAUUGAUUGGAAAGAAAGGGUGAAAGAAAGAGAAAGAAAGAGAAAGAAAGAGAUUAGUGAGCGAGAGAGAUCACUCAUCACUGCACACACAAAAACCAGUACAGUGUAUGUAUCAGGGCAACAGAAUGUAUUGGGUGGGAAAGCGACUUGGCGGAUACAAAUCGGGGCCCCCCACAAGAGAAAGAAUCUGGGUGGAGGAGCAGGAUCCGUGAGGGAGGAUUUGGCACCUCACACGCACAUAAACCAACUCAGGAUCGAUGCGCAGUGUAUUCCUUCCCCUCGGACAGAUGUACCCAGACUCGAUGCUUUCUGCACCCCCCCUGGAAAUAAAAAUAAACAAAAGGAACGAUCCUGAGGCUAAGAAAUAGCACGGUAGCAACAACAGUAGCAACAACACAAGCAGCAGCAAUUUGGGUCGACGUUCCUCGUCGGCGGUUGCCCAGAUUUGGAACGAAUUUUCGCAAAGGUCAGACACCCAGCCAGCCUGUGGCCCCGCACGCUCCAUGCGUUUACGCGGCUUUGGCUCUCUUCUUCUUCUCUGUCUCCAUCACGGACAGAGUCUCCCUAACCUUGAAAAUUGUAGACCGACCACGACGACCUAUUAUAAUCAUAAUACCCUACACUCAUGGACGUUGCUUCUUCGCCCACGAUUCGCCCUUCUCAUGGGGUCCAUCUCUCGGCGGAAGGUGAUGGGCAGCAGCCAGCCUUGGAGGUCUUAUAUAAUGCUUCCUUCGUUCCGUAUCUUUCAUCGUUCACUCGGUUAUCCUUGACCUCACCGCGCCGCUCGCAGUGAAGUCCGGGUUUGGGUGCUUCUUUACUUUUCUUCUCUUUUGGAGUUGGGAAGAUUUUUUUUUGCGGAGGAUGUUUUGGGAGGGUUGGGGUUGAAGUUGUCUUGGUGAUUGAGGCUGUGGCGGAGGAGUAUUGAUCGAAGUUUGGUGUUCAAGGAGGUGUUGCCUUUCAUGGUCAGAAACGAUCUUCGUCGCCGCUCUGCGUGCAGUCUUGCAGCAGUUGCUGGUUUUCACGAUCGGGAGGUUCGUGUGGAGCGCGGGGUGGACUUGCUGCUCGUUUCUGGUGUGCGUUUGCUGCACGACUGUUGUUCCCUUUCCUGGGAAUUCAACAUUGAUUGAUUGACGAGCGACUUCGCGAUCGGCAUUGGUAUUUGCCGCGUCGUGAGCUUUGCGACGUUUUCAGAUAUGGAGUGGAAGGGGUUUGCUGAGGGUGGUUUGGCGUCGAUGAUCGCCGGGUUCGCUACGCACCCUCUGGACCUUAUCAAGGUCCGCAUGCAGUUACAAGGGGAGGUUGCUACGUCGGGUUUCGCCCUCGCGCUCGAAGGUAGUCAUGUUGCUCCUGCUGUACUCGGUGUCCCGAAACCGGGUCCCUUGGGAGUCGGUUUGAAUGUGGCUCGUGCAGAAGGAGUGUAUGCCCUCUACUCCGGUGUCUCCGCCACUUUGUUAAGACAAGCCAUGUAUUCGUCUACACGGAUGGGUCUUUACGAGUUCUUGAAGCAUCAGUGGAGAGACGAGAAACAAGAAGGCUCUGGGCUUCCUCUGUACAAAAAAGUGACCGCUGCAUUGAUUGCCGGGGCUUCCGGCGCCGUUGUUGGAAACCCUGCAGACUUGGCCAUGGUCAGGAUGCAAGCCGACGGUAGGCUGCCUAUGCAUGAGAGGAGGAACUACACCGGGGUCGGCAAUGCUCUGUUACGGAUGGUGAAACAAGACGGCGUGAUGUCAUUGUGGACGGGAUCGGCUCCGACUGUGACUCGAGCCAUGCUGGUGACCGCCGCUCAGUUGGCCACCUACGACCAGAUCAAGGACUCCAUUGCUGAGACCCACAUGGUGCCGGAAGGGCUGGCCACGCAGGUGGUGGCAAGCUGCGGAGCGGGGGUGCUGGCAUCCGUCGCUUCAAACCCCAUCGACGUCGUGAAGACGAGAGUGAUGAACAUGAAAGUGACGCCUGGAGAAGGAGCUCCUUAUCGAGGUGCUUUGGAUUGUGCUGUGAAGACGGUGCGAGCGGAAGGUCCCAUGGCUCUGUACAAGGGAUUUGUCCCGACGGUGACUCGUCAAGGCCCCUUCGCCAUAGUUCUGUUCCUGUCAUUGGAGCAGAUCAAGAAGCUGAUCGAGGGCUGAAUCAGAUAAUGACGAAAGAUGUGUAGUUAAGCAAUAGUUGAAGUGGAUAUAAUAAGGUCCAUAUCUGAAGAGGUUGUCUCGGAGAAUUGGGCUAUGAGUCUCGGAACUAAAUAUACAUAAGGGUUUGUAUUCGUCUAAGCUUACGAUGUGAAAAAUGUUCAAGAACGUAUUCCUUUCGGCACAGUAGCAUAUCGGUUUUUUACUGCCUCAUUGAUGAAUCCUUCAAAAUCCUCUCAACUGAUCUUCCAUACUUGUUUCCACCAAGGUUAGGUUGUACCCAGCCAGCGUUUCAAUCUUCCAGUAAGUGUACGUAAACCAUUGGCGUAGGUUCGUCACAGUCCACUUCCGGUUGUCUCGGUUUGUGUGCAGAAGUAUUUACCGCGUCGUGCAGCAUUCUUGACCAGGCGUGCACUUCACAGUACCUGUCUACUGCUGUCAAUGCAAGGCUUCCACUCACAGACGGGAUUAUUUAUUUCUCCGAGACAAUAAAACCUGAAGUACACAUUCGAGCGGGACAUGGUCAGUGAAGACAUUGAAACCGCAACGUGCAUACGCGAAUCAUCAUCGUUUCCCGCAAAGGGUCUCGGACAAAUCAUUUUCCAUCAAGAGCCAACAACUGGAAAACCGUCAGUUUGCAACUCUGGCUCAAUCAUGACAACACGUUAACGUCCAGAUAUGAGCUUAUGGGUCACAUCAGUAUCUUUAUUUUCCAAUCGACAGAACCUUGCAGGUUUGCAUCAAUUACUGGUUCUGCUCAAGAUGAAACUUAAGAGACUGCACAUAAUGAAGUGAAUAUAGGUAACACUACCCCUAAUAUAGUUUUUUUUAAAUGAUUCCAGUUCUCAAAGAACACUUUCAUCAUGAACCCCACUUCAACUACAGAAAGAAAAACUGCAUGAAAACCACAUGCUGGUGCAGUACAUCUAAUUUUUCUACUUCAAAGUUCAAUACAAUCCCUUGAUUGGUUCGUACUGAACGACGUUGUGAGAGAUGGCAUCUGAGCCAGCAAACUUCAGCUCACAGUAGAGUUCUCUGAUUGCAAGCUCCGGUAGAAUUGGAAACGAUGCCCCAAUUAUUGUAACAAUCGAUAACGAUGGAACCAGACUGGAGAAGUAAUUGAAGCGUGCAUCGAAUGAGAUAUUAGCUAAAUCAUGCACACGCGACGAAUUGUUCCAGUUGUGGCGUAGCUGCAGCCGCAGCGUCAAAGAUCAACCACAACUUUCACGGAGGAGAGAAGACAAGACUCUGCCUUUUCCAAAGUUUUAUUCGAAUUGGUUGAAAUCAAAAAAUUGCUAGUUUUCCUGGUUGGCUGCAUAUUCAGAAAAAGCAGCACAAAACAACAUUAAGGAAGGAAAAGAUCUGGUGGGUUCCACUAUUUUCAUACAUGGGGUGAAUAACAAUGUUCCUUCGAAUUUGCAUUGUGCCCUACUUGUGGGGUUUCUUAAAUCUGGAGGGCAAUGGUACAAAAGCUUUAUACAAGUCUCAAGUUUGACAAGGAAAAAAUUAUGUUUGAUAGCCUUGAUUUUUGGAGAAUUGCAAGCAGGAAGAGAACGUGAUGUAGCCCAAAUAUUUUUUUUGAUAUGAUUUUAAAUGCAAUAAAUAAUGUCUUGAAUAUGUUAAUAGUAUAAUGUACAAAAACUAAAGAAAAAUUUACAUUAAUAUUGAGCAAUUUUGAACAUUUUUAAAUUAUUUUUUUUAACAAUAUCUAUCUCUUCAAGAGGGCAUACUAAAAAUUCCAAGGAAUAUUUUUAUGUAAUGUAGGAAAAGAAUGCAUCUAUCUCUUCUUUUCUCCUUAUAAUUUCUUGGUUGCUUUUUCAAAAUAUAAAGUCAAGUAAGCAAAGCUUAUCAAUUUUAAUCAAUCAUAUAUAUAUAUAUAUAUAUAUAUAUAUAUAAAAAUUAUAGCCUCUUAAAUAUGGUCCCAAGUACAAAAAAUGCCUUUGAAGGUGGUUUUUAAUAUAAAAAUAAUAUCCUAUAAUUGCAUAAGCAAUGCAAAAAUUUGUACAUUUUUUUUUUCAAAAAUUAAUCAAUUAAAAAAAUUAUGUUGUGAAUUGUUCUAUUAUAAAAUAUUACAUGCAACUAAAUUGAUCUUUUCUAUGACAUUUUGUCUCUUAAUAUAUCUUUAUUGAAUACUCUUUUUUAAUACCAAGUGAUAGAUCUUUACAAGACUUUAGAACCAUAAUCUUUCAAAGAAGGUAAUUUGGCAUGAAGAUGCUUUGAGUCAUAUAAGUGUCAAAUCUACCAAUAAAUAAUAGCUAAAUAUUUAUUUGAUGUAAUUUUUCUAAAUACUAUUUUUUAUAUACAAAUAAAAAUAUGCUUAGUUUAAAUAUAUAUAUAUAUAUAUAUAUAUAUAUAUAUAUAAAAUAAUUAGGUUAUAAAAUUAUAUAUUAAACAUACUAAAAAAAUUACAAAUAAAUAACAAAAAAGAAUGACAAAGCAUAAUCUUAUUUUUUGUUAUAUUAUUUGAAAACUAAUAUAUAUAUAUAUAAGAUUACGAAAGUGAUUUAUAUUUAUUUUUAGAUUGCAUUAUGAGUGCAAAGUUUUUUUUUUGAUAAAUAUGAAAUCUGAUUUUAAAAAAUAAAAUAAAUUUAUGUUUUAACUUUUCUUUCUUUUAAAACUCUUCUCAUCUAUUAUAAUUUGGUCUUUGAAACUUCCAUCUAAAUAAAGAUUGUCAUAAAAUCUCUUUGUAAGAAUUGCUACAGAUGCAUGCAAAAAAAGAAAUUGAAAAUGUGGAGAUAGCUUGACACUGAAGGCUUCACCUAUUGAAGGAUGUUGACCCAAUUAGAAAAUGUAAAAUAUAGAAAUUAUAGGUGUUCAUAUUCUAGAGAUAUAAUCAACUAAAAUAUAAUAAGCCUUUUACAUUAGAAUUUGGAAGUAUGAUACUUAUUAUUAUGAGGAUUUUAUUUGUCUACAAGAUUUGUUUUUAAAAACUCAAAAUUUGUGACAAAAAAAUAUUUAAAAAAUAUUUUAGAAAGAUUUUAAUACAAAUAGUAAUAAGGAAAAUUUAUUAAGUUAAAAAUAAAAAAUAUCUAUAUAUAUAUAUAUAUAUAUAUAUAUACAUAUAUUUUUAUAUUCAAGAGACAAAAAUAAAAAAAUAACUAAAUAAAUAAAAAAAUAACCAAAAUUUAUGUUAUUUCAACGUCAUUUGUUAUAUUUCUUUAAUUUAUGGUAAUUUUUUGCUUAUUACUUUACUAUUAUUUUCUUCAUUUCUUGAUUGCAUCAAGAAUCUUUUAUUCUAAUCUGCAAUAGGAACUAUUAGUUACUUCAAUUACAAAAGUUUAUAUUAUGUUAUAUAUAUGACAUUUUAAAGUAGCUUCUUUCUUUUUUUUGUAGAAAAGUUUCAUGGUUUUUUUUCAAAUUUCAUAUUAAUUAUAGACAAACAUUUUGUGGAAGGUUUGUGGAGGUGAAAAAAAAGAAAGAUUUGGUCUCGGUUUUAAAUAUUUUUAAAAAGAAAUAUAUUUCUAAACAUAUUAUUUAUAUAAUUAUUAUUGUAGGUAGUGUAUUGUUUAUAUAUGUAAUCUACAUAAUUUUAAGGAGUAGUAGAGUACAUAUUAAGUUAGAAGAAUUAGCAAAGUAGAGUCAAUUAUAAAAUAUAAGAUAUUUUUAUCAUAAAGAAAAAUUUUGAUAUAAAGAAGGUAAAAAAGUAUUAAAUAAUAAUAAUAAUAAUUUAUAUUUAUAUAUUAGUAGUUAUCAUUCAAAAAAUAAAUUAAAAACCAGAAAAUAACUAAAAUAAAGAGAAGAAUUGAGAAGAUUCAUAACAACUUCAACCAUAUAUAUAUAUAUAUAUAUAUAUAUAUAAAUAAUUUAUAAGACUAAAAUACAUCUUGUUUAAACUACUAGUAUAUUUCAUCAUAGUUUAGAAUAAGCUUUUGUUUUAAAACAUUUUUGUUAAGGCUUAUCAACAAAUCUUUUAAAUGAAAUUGUUUAAAGAAGGUUUUUUUAAAUAAAAUUUACUCUCUAAGCUUAAAAUAAGAAACUUCUAACAAUUGUUUUAAAUAACUUGAAAGAGUCUAAAAAAUGUAGGUCUUGUAGAGACCUAAAAUUCUAUGUUAAUGACAUAUAAACUUUCUUUAUUAAUAGCAAGUAUAAGAACUUUGUCAUUGUUGUUAGAUAUUAUAGAAUAUAAGAUAUUCUUUAUUUUAAUAUAAUUGGCAUCUAGUUGCUAUAUAAAUUUAAUAAUUGGAUUAUUAUAUAUUCUUUUUUUCAAAUAGAUAGGAUAGAUUAAAACUUAUUCCAUAUUU
rnacentral:lncRNA from 1 species